AAUCAACGCACUGGAGAACCUGUAGAUCCACAAAUGGAGGGGAUAUUUGAUAAUUAUUCCGUGAAGCGUCAGAUUGUUAAUUCUGGGCCUGUUAUAGCAUCUCAGCUGUUACUUGUUGAUGAAGUAAUUCGUGCUGGAAGAAACAUGAGGAAACCAACUUAGUUGUUUCUGUCUGAAAAUACUUCACUGAUUUUCCUGUACUUUUCAUCUUGCGAUUGUUUUGGAAUUAUCAGAGGAAGGAUGAAAAAACGAAGGUGGAGAUAGAUGAAAUAGGCGUUGAGAGUAGGGUGUUUUCAUUGGUCAGUUUGACAUUGUUCUGAAAGAUUUUGCUUGUGUAAUUUCUUGGUUUUCCAGUUUUUCUAAUUUUCCAAUGUCAUAUUGAAAUAAAAUUCGAUAUGGUUUGGUUUUCUAUUUUUCAACUUAAGUUUUGUAUAACUUUAAGUUGUACUUUUCUCG
rnacentral:misc_RNA from 1 species